UUCUAAUAGUAAUAACUAUUAGUAAAACCUGCUCAAUGAAUUUUAAAUAGCCGCAGUCUCCUGUGCUAAGGUAGCAUAAUAACUUGCCUUUUCAUUGAAGGCUAGAAUGAACGGUUUAACAUAUAAUCUUCUUUAUUAAUCCCUUUAAUUUAAUCUUAUCAAUUAGUAAAAAAGCUAAUAUUCUCAGAGGGACGACAAGACCCUAUUAAACUUCACUUUUGUUUUACUGGGGCGGUAAAAAAUUCAUUUCAUUUAACCUUUUCUUCUAUCCUCCUAUUAACUAGAUAAACAAGUUACUAUAGGGAUAACAGCAUAAUUUUUUCCUAAAGACCUUAUUUAAGAAAAAGAUUGUGACCUCGAUGUUGAAUAGUUUCCUUUUUAGAGCAAGCACUAAAAAAGAAAGUCUGUUCGACUUUUAAUUUUCUACA
rnacentral:rRNA from 1 species